UACGCCAACCCUUAUGCUGCAAUUUCCCCCAACUUCCCCUCCAUUACUUUAUUUUUUUUUCUCUUUCCUCUUCCCCCUUUCUCCUCUCGACAACCCCCUUCCUUCUUCUUUUCUUUUUCUCUCCCUUCUCUCUUUCUCUUCUCCCCCUCACGCAUUCUCCCUUCUACCAUAGCACCCCCAUCUUUUUCCCCUCCAUUUAUUUUCUUUCACUUUCUCUAACUUCAUCAUCUACUUGUCUCACCAUUGUUCUCACCGUUGCACACCGUCCGCUCAAGCCGAGCGCCCUUGCCCUUGAGCUCAACUUCAACGAACCGUUGCCGUUCGAGUUGCGAGCCUCGUGAUUUCGUCGCUAUUGCGCUGCCGCUGCCAGGAGUUCUUCAAUCCACAAAUUAUGCCCUAGAUGGAAGACUGUCAAGCCAGAUGCAGAGGGUUGCAGGAGGUGGGGUAUGAGUUUUUCUGUAGCCUUUUCCAGAUGUUGAUGGAUCUUCCGUCUGAUCUAGAUAAUGGGUGACAGCUCACCCAGGACUAUCGAAAAGUCUAGCAAAGUCGUAGGGAGGGACUUGAUCUCAUGGAUGAGGAGCUUGGAGCGUAGAUAGCCUAGAAGCUCUUCUUUUUGAUAUAGAUCCCUGUUAUGUUAGACUUUUAUGUACAUAAAUACUACUGUAAAAAAGUGUGUGUUUUAUGAAAAUAUAAUCAUAUGUUUGCUAUCCCA